UACGUAGGAGGCGAGCGUUGUCCGGAAUCACUGGGCGUAAAGCGCGUGUAGGCGGGAAGGCAAGUCUGCUGUGAAAGCCCUGGGCUCAACCUGGGAAUUGCAGUGGAUACUGGCAAGCUAGAGUGCGGUAGAGGAUGGUGGAAUUCCCGGUGUAGCGGUGAAAUGCGUAGAUAUCUGGAGGAACACCGGUGGCGAAGGCGGGUCUCUGGGCCGAUACUGACGCUGAGGAGCGAAAGCAUGGGUAGCGAACAGG
rnacentral:rRNA from 1 species